rnacentral:rRNA from 1 species
GAAUUUUUGACAAUGGGGGAAACCCUGAUCAAGCAACGCCGCGUGGAUGAUGAAGUAUUUCGGUACGUAAAAUCCUUUCGACAGGGAAGAAACCCGAUCUUCGGAUUGGUCUGACGGUACCUGUAGAAGAAGCCCCGGCUAACUCCGUGCCAGCAGCCGCGGUAAUACGGGGGGGGCAAGCGUUGUUCGGAUUUACUGGGCGUAAAGGGCGCGUAGGCGGUCUGCUAAGUCGGAUGUGAAAACUGGGGGCUCAACCCUCAGCCUGCAUCCGAUACUGGUGGGCUUGAGUGCGAGAGGGGAAAGCGGAAUUCCUGGUGUAGCGGUGAAAUGCGUAGAUAUCAGGAGGAACACCGGCGGCGAAGGCGGCUUUCUGGAUCGCAACUGACGCUGAGGCGCGAAAGCUAGGGGAGCAAACAGG